rnacentral:lncRNA from 1 species
ACUGUCCACAGCUAUCGGUGGUUCUGGGCUCUCUUGCUGGCCAGUCACUUCCUAGUGUAUCCCCGAUGCCACCGGACACCCCAGCUCCAUGUUCUUCUGAAGGAGCAGAGGACAGAACCACAGCCAUGCUUAGGGAGGCUGCUGGAGUUGAAUUUCUCCCCAUUGACUCCUUCAGAUACUGAAGCGCUUUGAAGCCGCUGUGAAGUAUGAGGCUGGCCUUGCUCU